UCCGAUUUGUCAUCGGCAGUCCCUCUAGAGUGCCCAACUUAAUGCUGGCAACUAAAGGCAAGGGUUGCGCUCGUUGCGGGACUUAACCCAACAUCUCACGACACGAGCUGACGACAACCAUGCACCACCUGUGUCCACUGUACCCGAAGGUAAAGGUAUAUCUCUAUACCGGUCAGUGGCAUGUCAAGCCCUGGUAAGGUUCUUCGCGUUGCUUCGAAUUAAACCACAUGCUCCGCUGCUUGUGCGGGUCCCCGUCAAUUCCUUUGAGUUUCAUACUUGCGUACGUACUCCCCAGGCGGAGUGCUUAAUGCGUUAGCUGCGGCACCGAGGUUUGACCCCCAACACCUAGCACUCAUCGUUUACGGCGUGGACUAC
rnacentral:misc_RNA from 1 species